UACAGAGGGUGCGAGCGUUGUCCGGAAUUACUGGGCGUAAAGAGCUCGUAGGUGGUUUGUCGCGUUGUUCGUGAAAACUCACAGCUCAACUGUGGGCGUGCGGGCGAUACGGGCAGACUUGAGUACUGCAGGGGAGACUGGAAUUCCUGGUGUAGCGGUGGAAUGCGCAGAUAUCAGGAGGAACACCGGUGGCGAAGGCGGGUCUCUGGGCCUUACCUGACGCUGAGGAGCGAAAGCGUGGGGAGCGAACAGG
rnacentral:rRNA from 1 species